rnacentral:rRNA from 1 species
AGUGGGGAAUAUUGCACAAUGGAGGAAACUCUGAUGCAGCGACGUCGCGUGAACGAUGAAGGUCUUCGGAUCGUAAAGUUCUGUCCUAGGGGAAGAUAGUGACGGUACCUUAGGAGGAAGCCCCGGCUAACUACGUGCCAGCAGCCGCGGUAACACGUAGGGGGCGAGCGUUGUCCGGAAUUACUGGGUGUAAAGGGUGCGUAGGCGGCCUUGCAAGUCAGAUGUGAAAGAUCAUGGCUUAACUGUGGUAAGCAUUUGAAACUGUAAGGCUUGAGUGCAGGAGAGGAGAGUGGAAUUCCUAGUGUAGCGGUGAAAUGCGUAGAUAUUAGGAAGAAUAUCAGUGGCGAAGGCGACUCUCUAGACUGCAACUGACGCUGAGGCACGAAAGCGUGGGGAGCAAACAGGAUUAGAUACCCUGGUAGUCCACGCUGUAAACGAUGAGUGCUAGGUGUCGGGGGUCAUACCUCGGUGCCGCAGUUAACGCAUUAAGCACUCC